rnacentral:rRNA from 1 species
UACGGGGGGAGCAAGCGUUGUUCGGAAUUACUGGGCGUAAAGGGCGCGUAGGCGGCCUGUUAAGUCGAACGUGAAAUCCCCGGGCUCAACCCGGGAACUGCGUCCGAUACUGGCAGGCUUGAAUCCGGGAGAGGGAUGCGGAAUUCCAGGUGUAGCGGUGAAAUGCGUAGAUAUCUGGAGGAACACCGGUGGCGAAGGCGGCAUCCUGGACCGGUAUUGACGCUGAUGCGCGAAAGCCAGGGGAGCAAACGGG